UUGCAUUAUUGAAAGAAAAACUAUCAAGCAGAAGUGACUUGGUGCUUGAUGAGAAUGGAGAUUUUAGUGGUGGUGUACCUUUGUUUGCAGGUGUAGCUGUGCCCGUUACUAACCCAGACGGAGCUCGCACCAUUCCUGGCUGGCUGACGCCUACUGGCCCUUCUCGACUGAUAAUGUCAGUUUCUCUGAUGCUUUUGGCCUAAAGGCAAAAGGCUCGCUGCAUUCAACAGAUCAAACCACAGAUAAAUGAUAUCAUAAAACUCUCGUCUCUCACCCUCACAUUUGAGCCCCUGCUUGGCGAGCCCCCACAGCAGAGUCCCACAGUGUUCACAGAAAGUGGGGCUUUUGUAGUUGUAGACUUUGAACCUGUGGGGCAUGUCGAUCUUGAAGCGCUCUUUGUGGAUCUGCAGCACAUGCAUCAUAUUGUACAGAUCAUCAUGGAGGCCCCAGUACAGGUUAAGCUUUACAGCAAACAAAGCCAAGAGCAGUAGAAGCACUUCCUUUAUCCAGACAGUGGGUGGCAGGUCUGCCCUUCUACACUGAGUACUACAAUGUAAGGUUUUGCAUUCUCUUUUGGUUUCAUGCGUGUGAACUCAGCACACAUGUGGAGGAAGUGAAACAAAAGCAAGAAGAUGAAAGCAGCAAAAGAAACAAGAAUGUUUGUUGUAAUGGUACCUCUGCAUGAGGUGACUACUUGAUUAGUAAGCACCAUAAACCACAAGUUUACAAAUCUCUUACACAUGCUACAUCAGCAAUCUCCGGAUUUAACUCAGGCUGCUUGGAGGAAAAGACUCGCUGUCGCAGAGCAUUUAUGUGAAAGAAACGAUGACAUACUCACCAUUGUUUCCUUGCUGUUAAUGGCUGAGCCGGUGCAUUUGGCGAUUACUUUGUCUAUGCACUUUUUGUGAAUAGCAGCAUUGCACUCUAAAAGACACAAAGAUGACAGGGUUAAGACAAAGAGUGGAAGGUGGAAUCGUUCAAACUUCGUAACGUCAGUGGAAAAUAACACUCACGUCUGCAUUGGUAGCCCUGCUUGUUAAGACCCCUGUGAUGGAUAAAAAGAGGUGAAAUGACUAAUACGAUGAUGAAGAAAAGGAU